UUAAAGCAAAAUUUUAUUUUACAACAAUUAAACUGAAAUAUUUUUUGAAAUACAUAAUUAUAAUUAAUUAACAGCUAUAUUAAAUGUUGGAAGAAAAUGAAAAAAAAAGUUAAAAAAAUUCAAAACAGUACAAGAAUUAGCGUUUGCGAAUAAGCGAGAAGAGGAGAGAGUGAGAGAAGCAAUCCCGCCAUUAGAGAAACCGCGAAAUCCUUAACGGCGUUUAGCUCAGUCGGUGGCGAUCCUUUUAUUAUCAUCCACUACUUCGCCUCGCCGGUGUUAGAAGCAAAAGACUCCGUUCGUUCUAAAAUUGAGGUGUCAAGGGAAGAGAAAGUUACUGUAACCUCUUCAGCGGUCUUGAAAAUCUAUGAUUAGUUCAAAUCAAAUGAGUAGGAUGAGUCUCUCUGAAGUUCAGAAACCUAAAGCUCCUCAAACUAAUUGGUCAGAACAUGUAAAGGUGCUCGAUGGAAGUCCAUCUUCGGUCACUAAGCAUCUGAGCUCCAAUUUCCUUUACGCUCUAGAAAGUCAGAAGCCCGGUAGAUGCAGAGAUAUGGCUGCAAGGUCAAUUGCGUUUCCCAGUGUCAAUGUGCAUACUUUGGCGCACCCGCAAAUUGCCAAGGCUUGGCGUGCUCUUUCAAGUCUCUCAAUAAAUAAGACCUACCUAAGACCUGGAAUCACUCCCCCGGUUGAUGAUAGUGGCACCAAUGGCUCAUAUUCUGCAAGAGAGAGUUCCACUGUGAAAGUUACAUCUAGCACUGGUGGUUCUUUUUAUUCAAACAAUCAACAAAAUCAAAGUCAAAUGGGUGUACCAGGAACUGGAAGAUACUCUCACAGCUUUCCUUCCUCUGUCCCUGGUGAUGAUAAAAGAGCUGCUGAAAAGUUUUCACGCGUAAAUGAUGAGGUCAGAGAACCAGAGACCAGUUGCGCGCAUUCAAAUGGUGUGGAGAAACCAUUCAGGAAGUCUGCUUUGGCAGCGGAGCAGUUGGAAUCUGGAGAAGCAUGUCUUGAUGAGAUUAAUGAUGACAUACUUCAGAAUAUUGAUGUCGACCAAAUUUUGAUGGAACACUACCAAUCAACAAGUACCCCACAACCAUCUGUAUCUAGUUUUCCAUUGAGAACUCCACCUGUGGAUAGAAGUGCUUCCAGUAGAGAAGAGGAGUUCUGUCUGCCUCCUGAACUAUGUUGCAACUGUAGUCAUGGAAUAAAGCUAGGGCUUUGUCCUGAAGCGUCAACCCAUUUGGAACAAAUGAAGAACACGUUGAUUGCGAUAUCAAAUGAACUCCUUGACGAUGAUACUGAUCUGAGUCCUGAUCGUAUUCAAGAGCUUCGUCAAGAGAGGUUACAGCUGAAGAAGCAAAUUCAGCAGCUCGAGAACCAUAUCCGAGAUAAAGAAAGGGAAACCUCUAAAUUUUUGUCAUCUACAGCUACUCCUUUCCAGUAUGAAACACCUAAAGCAACAAAUCGAAAUAUGGAUGAUCCACAAACUGAUUCUCGAGCAGAGUUUAGUGAGCAAGGCGGUUAUGCAUCUGGUAGCUGGAACAUGCCAAGAGAUUCUUCAUUUUCUGUAGAUAGGUAUGGUCUUUCAUCUGCUCCUGUAGAGAGGGAGCAAUAUGUUCCGAGGAUUAUCGACGUGAAGUACACCGAAGGUUCAAGUGACAAAAAGUGGAGCAGUCGUGAAUUUUCUUGGACGAAAAAACUAGAGGUCAGUAACAAAAAGGUGUUUGGAAAUCACUCGUUUCGACCUAACCAGAGAGAAAUCAUCAAUGCAACGAUGAGUGGCUCUGAUGUUUUUGUUUUGAUGCCAACUGGAGGAGGAAAGAGUUUGACAUAUCAGCUCCCCGCUCUGAUCUGUCAAGGAAUAACAUUAGUCAUUUCUCCACUUGUGUCACUUAUUCAAGACCAGAUAAUGAACCUAUUGCAGGCCAAUAUACCCGCUGCUUCCCUAAGUGCCGGCAUGGAAUGGGCUGAACAACUGAAGAUCUUUCAGGAGCUUAGUUACGAGCACUCUAAGUACAAAUUACUAUAUGUCACACCCGAAAAAGUGGCACAGAGCGAUUCUCUUUUGAGGCAUCUAGAUAGCUUAAACUCCCGAGGUUUGCUUGCUCGAUUUGUUAUUGAUGAAGCUCAUUGUGUAAGCCAAUGGGGGCAUGACUUUCGACCAGACUACCAGAGUCUUGGUAUUCUGAAGCAGAAGUUUCCUAACAUUCCCGUCUUAGCUUUAACAGCUACCGCAACAGCCAGUGUGAAAGAAGACGUUGUACAAGCCCUUGGCCUUGUCAACUGUGUUGUGUUCCGGCAAAGUUUUAAUCGACCAAAUCUUUGGUAUUCCGUUGUUCCCAAGACCAAAAAGUGUCUAGAAGAUAUUGACAAAUUCAUCAGGGAAAACCAUUUUGAUGAAUGUGGAAUUAUAUAUUGUCUUUCAAGAAUGGACUGCGAGAAAGUUGCUGAAAAGUUGAAGGAGUUUGGUCAUAAAGCAGCAUUCUACCAUGGCAGUAUAGAGCCUACUCAACGUGCCUUAGUACAGAAACAAUGGAGCAAGGACGAAAUCAAUAUAAUAUGUGCUACUGUUGCCUUUGGAAUGGGAAUCAACAAGCCUGAUGUCCGCUUUGUUAUUCAUCACUCGCUCCCGAAGUCUAUAGAAGGCUAUCAUCAGGAAUGCGGUCGUGCUGGCAGGGAUGGCCAGCGGGCAUCUUGUGUUUUGUAUUACGGUUAUGGUGACUAUAUACGAGUAAAGCAUAUGAUUAGCCAAGGAGGAGUUGACCAAAGCCCCAUGGCAGGCGGUUAUAAUCGUGUAGCAAGUUCAGCGAGGUUACUUGAAACGAACAGUGAAAACCUUCACCGCAUGCUUAGGUACUGUGAAAAUGAGGUGGACUGCCGACGUUUCCUACAACUAGUCCAUUUUGGGGAAAAGUUUGACUCCACAAACUGCAAAAAUACGUGUGAUAAUUGUUGCAGUAGCCAGAGUUUGAUUGACAAAGAUGUCACCUUGAUUACAAGGCAACUGGUUGAACUGGUGAAGCAAACAGGAGAACGGUUUUCUUCGUCUCAUAUUCUUGAAGUCUACAGAGGUUCCUUAAACCAAAUGGUCAAGAAACACAGACAUGAGACUUUGCAGUUCCAUGGAGCUGGAAAACAGUUAUCGAAAAUUGAAGUCUCUCGUAUCCUGCACUAUCUCGUAACCGAAGACAUUCUUGUGGAAGAUGUUAGGAAAAGUGAUAUGUACGGAUCCGUGUCAUCGCUGCUCAAGGUGAAUAACGCAAAGGCUGCCUCACUCUUUUCUGGAAGCCAGACUAUAAUGAUGAGAUUUCCUUCUUCUGUAAAAGUAUUAAAAACGACUAAGCCGGCGCCGACCCCUGCAAAAGCUCCGGUAACAUCAGCAGAUACUCCUCCAGAAGAUUUGAAUCUCUCCGCCAUCAUGUACACAGCGUUGAGGAAGCUUCGUACGCUUCUUGUCAAAGAAGCCCCUGACGGUGUCAUGGCAUAUCAUAUAUUUGGCAACGCAACGCUUCAGCAGAUAAGCAAGAAAAUUCCAAGAACCAAAGAGGAACUCUUAGAGAUAAAUGGACUUGGGAAGGCCAAAGUAACCAAGUACGGUGACCGUUUGUUGGAAACAAUAGAGUCAACAGUCAACGAGUACUAUGGAACAAGUAACAAAGACUCCAUGAUUAGUCCAGAUACAGGGAAGAGGAGAAGAGACGAGAAUACAAGUCCGAAUGUAGCCGAUGAUGAUGAUGAUUUCGCAGAGAUGUCAAUCCAGUCCUGCAAGAAAACAGCGAGGAACAAAAGCAAUGAGAUUGGUAUGGUCGUAGAGAAGCUAGAUUUUGAUUUUGAAGACGAAGAUGGGUCGGAGUUACGUCCGGAGGGAAGAGUGUUACCUUGGUGAGGUUGUAACCAUUGUGAAAUUUUUAAUUGUAUAAAAGUUUUGCUGUAUUUUUUUUUGUAAACCUUUAUAGUCUACUUUGUGGUGUACGUCAAUGUGAAGUAGAUUAUUACAUGAAUAGUAGAAUUGACAUUUUUUUCAUAAAACGUUUUUUUAAGGAAUAGUUUUUUUUUCACAAAGAAACGAUUGGAGGUAUUACCUAAAUAAGAUACUUUGCAACGAACUGUACGGCAGGAGACCGACAAGGAACUGCACAGCCCCACUUCCCUUCUCUUCAUACCUUGCGUGACACCCACUCCACUACUUUU